GUGUGGAUAGCCCAGUUGGUAGAACCUCAGACUUUUAAUUUGAGGGUCCAAGGUUCAAGUCCCUGUUCAGAAA
rnacentral:tRNA from 1 species